UACGUAGGGUGCGAGCGUUGUCCGGAAUUAUUGGGCGUAAAGAGCUCGUAGGCGGUGUGUCGCGUCAGCCGUGAAAACCUGCAGCUUAACUGUGGGCUUGCGGUCGAUACGGGCAUCACUGGAGUUCGGCAGGGGAGACUGGAAUUCCUGGUGUAGCGGUGAAAUGCGCAGAUAUCAGGAGGAACACCGGUGGCGAAGGCGGGUCUCUGGGCCGAUACUGACGCUGAGGAGCGAAAGCGUGGGGAGCGAACAGG
rnacentral:rRNA from 1 species